rnacentral:rRNA from 1 species
UACGUAGGAUGCAAGCGUUGUCCGGAAUUAUUGGGCGUAAAGAGCGCGCAGGCGGUCUAUCAAGUCAGAUGUGAAAUAUCCCGGCUUAACCGGGAGGGGUCAUUUGAAACUGGUAGACUAGAGUACAGCAGAGGAUAGCGGAAUUCCCGGUGUAGUGGUGAAAUGCGUAGAUAUCGGGAGGAACACCAGUGGCGAAGGCGGCUACCUGGACAGAAACUGACGCUGAGGCGCGAAAAGCCUAGGGGAGCAAACAGG